rnacentral:tRNA from 1 species
GGCUUUAUAUUCAAUUUAUGAUAUUGGAUUGCAAAUCUAAAGGAGUAGUGAAAUCUACUAAGGCUU